CCUACGGGAGGCAGCAGUAGGGAAUUUUCGUCAAUGGGCGCAAGCCUGAACGAGCGAUGCCGCGUGAGUGAAGAAGGCCUUCGGGUCGUAAAGCUCUGUUGCGGGGGAAAAAAGUCAGCAUCAGGAAAUGGGUGCUGACUGAUGGUGCCCCGCCAGAAAGUCCCGGCUAACUACGUGCCAGCAGCCGCGGUAAUACGUAGGGGGCGAGCGUUAGCCGGAAUGAGUGGGAGUAAAGGGGGCGCAGGCGGGCCUGCAAGUCUGGAGUGAAACGCAUGAGCUCAACUCAUGCAUGGCUUUGGAAACUGGAGGACUGGAGAGCAGGAGAGGGCGGUGGAACUCCAUGUGUAGCGGUAAAAUGCGUAGAUAUAUGGAAGAACACCAGUGGCGAAGGCGGCCGCCUGGCCUGUAACUGACGCUGAUGCUCGAAAGCGCGGGUAUCGAACAGGAUUAGAUACCCUAGUAGUC
rnacentral:rRNA from 1 species